AAAUGAAUUGACGGGGGCCCGCACAAGCGGAGGAACAUGUGGUUUAAUUCGAUGAUACGCGAGGAACCUUACCUGGGCUUAAAUGCUUACUGUAUAAUGUGGAAACACAUUUUUCCUUCGGGACUGUUUGCAAGGUGCUGCAUGGUUGUCGUCAGCUCGUGCCGUGAGGUGUCGGGUUAAGUCCCAUAACGAGCGCAACCCUUAUCGUUAGUUGCCAUCGGGUAAUGCCGGGGACUCUAGCGAAACUGCCGGUGUAAACCGAGAGGAAGGUGGGGAUGACGUCAAAUCAGCACGGCCCUUAUGUCCAGGGCUACACACGUGUUACAAUGGCCGGUACAGAGGGCAGCUACUGGGUGACCAGAUGCAAAUCUCUAAAGCCGGUCUCAGUUCGGAUCGAAGUCUGCAACUCGACUUCGUGAAGGUGGAUUCGCUAGUAAUCGCGCAUCAGCUACGGCGCGGUGAAUACGUUCCCGGGCCUUGUACACACCGCCCGU
rnacentral:rRNA from 1 species